GCCUCGGUAGCUCAGUUGGAUAGAGCAACGGUUUUCUAAACCGUGGGUCAGGGGUUCGAAUCCCUUCCGGGGUAC
rnacentral:tRNA from 2 species